AGCAAUGCCUCCUGCUCCUCUCGAUCCCCUCGACGUACGAUCUGUGACUGCAGACGCACGAGAUCGCCGCAGCCGCUGCUCCUCCUCUCCCGGGACGCAGCCGCCACCGCCGAACCAGGGAGACGCCAGCGACCGUCGCUGCCGUCGCGGAUCACCAGGAAGCCACCGCCACCGUCGCGCCUCGGAUAUGUCGCGGAUCACCGAGACGCGGCCGUCGUGGAUCAGGAACACCAGGACACCACCGGCGGCGGCCCCUUGGAUACCGGCGACCGGCGGCGAUCUGAGACCAACGAGUCGGCACCACACCCCUGAUAUUGUUGCUAUUGUGAAAUUCGUAUUGCUGUGAACCAAUUGGCUUGACUAUUAGGGUGCAAAAAAAAGAGCACUCACUAUUGAAUUUCUGGAUCCGCCACUGCUUAUACAGGCACGUAGUAUGGGCUGACUGUCAGGGUCCUGACACGGGCUCUCCUUGUCCUGAUCUGAUCUUGAUGCUACUCGGUCAAUCUAUGAUGUUUGUUUCCCGUGUUUACAUGGCAGAGUGGUUGCUGCACUCGCUUUUGGAUGUGGAUGCAAGUUGGGAACUCAUUCAGUGAUUUGAGGGUGCAGGUAGAGAUGAUGCUGCGGAUGGGAUGGGAAGAUGCGUGUGUGCUAGCUGCCAUUGCAGGGACUUUUUAUUUUUUGGAUAGUUCAGCGUCUUAUUACGAAUCUGAUAGUGCUAUCUGCCACACAUACACCAUGUUACAAUUCUAUUUACAUGCGACUCAGAGAAAGAAUUGCUUUGCAGGUUGCCAACAUCACGAAUUUCAUACUUAUGGAGUGGAGCCACCAAACUAUUUAUGAGGAAAUAUGUUGAAGCACUGAAUAUAUUCCAUUUGCAGUGGACAAACAGAACAACACAACACAUAAGCAGAGGAAAGACAUGGUUGCUCUUGCUUCAUCUAAAUAGGCCAUCUGGAAUGCCAUGAGACCAGGACAUGGUUGCUCUUGCUUCAUCUAAAUAGGCCAUCUGGAAUGCCAUGAGACCAGGUUGUCCUAUCAUUUUGAAUUUGUUUACUAACACCACAACUACCACAUCCUCGCUAAACGACAGAGGUUGCUAGCAACUACACGUGGAAAGAUUGAAUGUGAUAUUCUGUCUACUAAUCAAUAGUGUAUUACUAAAACUACAUAUUGAUGACUUUUUAGUUAAACAACAGAUAGUAUUGUCCCCAGUUCUGCUUGAUUUGAUUUUUAUUUCCCAUCAGUUUUUUGUUUUGUCAGAGAAUGGUUUUUCUUUACCUACGGUAGUCCCUGUACUCAGGUAAAUCCUUUUGCAUCAUUUCACUAUUGGUUCUGUCGUAAUUGUAUUAGAUUGGGAUUGCAACAUGUGGGCUCCAACAAACAUAAUUUCAAAAUUGCACGUUAUUUGUAUGACAUAAAAUUAAAUGAGAUAUCACUCAACUCACAUGAACUUUGGAUAACAUUGUAGUUAAACAUUGAUUACUUGCAAUGCAUUAGCAACCCCAAAAUGUUAGAACUGAAUCUUGAACGCUUGUAACAAAAUUUUACCAUCCUCAAGAAUUUAAAGAGAAAGAAAGGUUUGCACUUACAUUCCUGUUAGUCCACUGCCAAUUCAUAGUAUUGUUAGGAUUUCUGGGAUCCUACAUUUUGACUAUUUAGCUGAUCCCAAGUUAUUUAUAUAUUUUUAUCCCAUUACAUCAUAUCUUUUUAGUUGCACGUAUUAAUUUACUGAUUGUGUACUGGAAGCAAUUUGCUGACUUGUGUAGUAUUUAGCUGAUCCCAGGUUAGGCUUUUAAGUUUUCUCUCAUUACACCAUUGCAUUUUAGAAUUUUGUAGCUAAAAGUUUCCAUUAAAUUGGUGCCCGUAUUAGAGGGAGGCAUCGGUUAACUAAGCAUAUCGUCGCACGUAUAGAGACCUCCAGUCCAGCAUGUCAAGGUUGCUCUGCGCGGGCUCGAUUAGAGGGGGCAUGGACUUUAUUAAGAACGAGUGAGUGCCGUCCUGUAUCAAGUGCAUGUCAUGGGUUUGAUAAUAUUUUAAAGAAUCAAUUUGUACUACAUUAUUCGCUGGAGGUAGCAUCACGAUGACACAGAAUUAAGGACUCGUGAUUGGGAGUGUCUAAAAAUUUAUCAACUAUUCUGAUGUUCCAUAAAUCGUUAGUUUACCGAAAAAGGAAGGAGCUACCAUCGAGGUUUGAUUGCGUUCAUCUUGGACUAAUCAUGAUCAAUUUGAUGAGGCCUCCAUCAGUUUCGUAUAGGUUGUGCUAAGGAUUCAACAAAUUAUGAGAAACCUGACGUCGAAAGAUAGUGAUAGACCAUCGGAUGAAGUUUACUAUAUGUUUUUGUCUAAGCAUAUCGUCGCACGUAUAGAGACCUCCAGUCCAGCAUGUCAAGGUUGCUCUGCGCGGGCUCGAUUAGAGGGGGCAUGGACUUUAUUAAGAACGAGUGAGUGCUGUCCUGUAUCAAGUGCAUGUCAUGGGUUUGAUAAUAUUUUAAAGAAUCAAUUUGUACUACAUUAUUCGUUGGAGGUAGCAUCACGAUGACACAGAAUUAAGGACUCGUGAUUGGGAGUGUCUAAAAAUUUAUCAACUAUUCUGAUGUUCCAUAAAUCGUUAGUUUACUGAAAAAGGAAGGAGCUACCAUCGCGGUUUGAUUGCGUUCAUCUUGGACUAAUCAUGAUCAAUUUGAUGAGGCCCCCAUCAGUUUCGUAUAGGUUGUGCUAAGGAUUCAACAAAUUAUGAGAAACCUGACGUCGAAAGAUAGUGAUAGACCAUCGGAUGAAGUUUACUAUAUGUUUUUGUCUUUACCAUGUUUUUUCUUAUACCAUGUUGAUUUUCAAAUAAAGUGCAAGUUGUGAAUGAAAGAGUAGACAUUUUCUUAUUUAUGUCAAAUUUUGCAACAAAUUUUUUUGCCUUACCAAUCAUGCGGUGUGGGUGCUCACCGGCGCUGGAGCUGAGGUUCUGCGAAUUCUUGUUUAGGGAUCCGAUGGAGAGCUCGGAUGUGGCAUCACAGCCGUUGAGCGACAGGGUCACGCCGAAGCUACUGCUCGGCUGCACGGAUUGCGUCACUGUCAUGCCGGGCGAGCCGCAUGUAUGAUUUUCUUUGGUUGCCUCUGGUGGUCUUGGCAACAUGCGCUCCCAGGAUUACAAAUUCAACUGCCAGAUGGACUGGAUCCGGAAAGACAUAUACGACGGGUACCAAUUAUACUGGUGAAGCUAAUCAUGGAGGAAUAAUUGCACCUCUCAUGGAGACGAUAUUCAGGAAAUCUGAUGUGAUGAACCGUCAUACAGAGUUCUUAAUUAGGGUAUCCUUCAUCGAGAUAUUCAAGGAGGAAGUAUUUGAUUUACUUGAUGAUCAUGGGUCUGUUGCAAAAGUGGCAGCGCCUGCUAGAGUGCCUAUUCAGAUUCGACAAAACUGCAAAUGGAAGCAUUACACUUGCUGGCGUGAUGGAGGCUGAGGUCAAGUCAAAAGAAGAUAUGGGCCAUAUGGCCAUGCACUUGGCAUGAGUAUCUUCGUCACGCGCAACUGGAAGUACAAACAUACAUAGCCAGGCAAGGGUGAUUGAGGAGUAAAUGCAAAGGUACAAAGAGUAACUGAUAAGUGUGUUUGAACAAUGACAGUUGUUCACAUUAGGCAUUUGCGUAGAGCUGCAAGAGUGGUGGACAUGCAACACAGGGAGGUGAAAGAAGGGAGGAUAAGGAAGGAUGGAGGGAGGUGACAAAGCUGGGAGAAAGGAGGGAGACACCAAGGAAGGUGGCC